GAUGAACGCUGGCGGCGUGCCUAAUACAUGCAAGUCGAGCGAAUGGAUUAAGAGCUUGCUCUUAUGAAGUUAGCGGCGGACGGGUGAGUAACACGUGGGUAACCUGCCCAUAAGACUGGGAUAACUCCGGGAAACCGGGGCUAAUACCGGAUAACAUUUUGAACCGCAUGGUUCGAAAUUGAAAGGCGGCUUCGGCUGUCACUUAUGGAUGGACCCGCGUCGCAUUAGCUAGUUGGUGAGGCAACGGCUCACCAAGGCAACGAUGCGUAGCCGACCUGAGAGGGUGAUCGGCCACACUGGGACUGAGACACGGCCCAGACUCCUACGGGAGGCAGCAGUAGGGAAUCUUCCGCAAUGGACGAAAGUCUGACGGAGCAACGCCGCGUGAGUGAUGAAGGCUUUCGGGUCGUAAAACUCUGUUGUUAGGGAAGAACAAGUGCUAGUUGAAUGAGCUGGCACCUUGACGGUACCUAACCAGAAAGCCACGGCUAACUACGUGCCAGCCGCCGCGGUAA
rnacentral:rRNA from 1 species